AGUGAACGCUGGCGGCAGGCCUAAUACAUGCAAGUCGAACGAGUGGCGGACGGGUGUGGCACACAUCUGAACUUACUCUGACGUGGGGGUUAACGUAGGGAAACUUACGCUAAUACCGCAUACGUUUGAAUGAGCCGUUGUCGGACUAGCCAUUUGGCGGUGUAAAGGCUCACCAAGGCAACGAGCCGCAGCUGGUCUGAGAGGAUGAUCAGCCACACUGGAACUGAGACACGGGCCAGACUCCUACGGGAGGCAGCAGUGGGGAAUAUUGGGCAAGGGGCGAAAGCCUGAUGCAGCCAUGCCGCGUGUAUGAGGAAGGCCUUCGGGUUGUAAAGUACUUUUAGCGGGGAGGCGUUACCCGAUGAGAAAGCCACGGCUAACUCCGUGCCAGCAGCCGCGGUAAUAC
rnacentral:rRNA from 1 species